CUUCACCGAACCCAGCCACAACGGCCGCGUGCGGUCCUGGCCGUAGGUGGCCAGCAGGGCGGUCGCCUC
rnacentral:antisense_RNA from 1 species